rnacentral:lncRNA from 1 species
AGAACAGACCCUGUGUUAUCCCAUGUGCUUCCAGACUCUGACUCUUAUCUGCGUUUUAUUGAACAAAUGAAUUUGGCUACUAAAGACUAGCAACGCUGAAGGGAGCAAUGAGAUCCAGAAACACAAACCUGUGGGAAUUGAUUUAACUUCAUAGACAUUCUGUUAAAGACUUUGGACUUUGUUCGGAGUCAGAACUGCAUAGAAUAGUUUUGGAGUCUGUGUCCUGUGCCCAGGGGCUGGUGACCCAGUGUCUGUUGUGGAUGCCUAGUGUCUUUAAAUGAUUCUCCCCUACUCCACGCCACAGGGAUGGACUCUCACUUCUUAGCACGUAGACCUCAUGUCUGAGCCGGGAGGCAUGGAAGAAUGGACCUGC